UUGGAUUGAGAACAACGUACAAACCUUAUCGAUAAACAAUUGGAGGGCAAGUCUGGUGCCAGCAGCCGCGGUAAUUCCAGCUCCAAUAGCGUAUAUUAACGUUGUUGCAGUUAAAAAGCUCGUAGUUGAAAUGAAGGGUAGUUGUGUAAUGAAUACAUUCGUGUAUUUUGUUAUUCUACUACCCUCCUUCUAAAUUCGAUAUAUGAGUAUUAAUUUACUUGUAUAUGGUUUUAGACGUUUACUGUGAGAAAAUUAGAGUGUUCAAAGCAGGCAUUUGCUUGAAUAUAUUAGCAUGGAAUAAUCAUGUAUGAUUUUCAUGAUGUAUUUGAUUGGUUUGGUUCAUGAGAAUAAGAUUAAAAGGGACAGUUGGGGGUAUUCAUAUUCAAUAGUCAGAGGUGAAAUUCUCGGAUUUAUGGAAGAUGAACAAGUGCGAAAGCA
rnacentral:rRNA from 1 species